AAGCAGAAGUCAGAGGAUGGAAAAGCAAAAUGGAGGACGUAAAAAUACAUGUGAACGUUUUCACGCCGCGGGCAGUGUGGUUAGCGCGGUCAGGCUAAUGCGCGAGCUGGGAGACGCAUGCUUCACACUACAGUGUUGUGCAAGUUCACAGUUCACAAGAGCAAGCUCAGAGUUCAGAUCGCACAGAUUAAAAUAAACUAGUUCACGUUCAUAGUUCAAGAUUUAGAAUUUUGAAAUAAGUUCAUAGUACCAAAAAAUGGACUAGUGCACGUUCAUUUCUUCCGUUUUUAAAAAUUCUAUUCUAUUCUUUUUCAGUAGAACCUCCUCCUACCCCCACCCCGAGCCCCCCAAUCAUUGCCACUGCCCACUUCCCAAACUAAAUGAUUUACUGUAUACUACUAUAGAAACAAGAUUACUUUUAAAAGCCAAGAAACAACAAUGGUCCUGGCCCGGUCUGUCACCUCCAGCAGGGGGCUUUGGGGGCUGUGUGGCUCGGCUCUUCACAGUCAGCGUGAACGGGACCAGCGCUCGGAGCCGGCCCCGGUGGAACACGGCGCACUCCCAAGCGUUCUGCGCCAGCGUGACGUUCCUCACCACGAGCCGGAACUCGCCCGCGUGCGCCCGUGCCUCGGGGUUGGAGAACAUCUGUUGACUCUGCGUGUUGAUCCACAGCAGUCUGGUGGACUCCGUCACAUGUGAAACGCCACAGACCAGGGAGCCAUUCUCUCCCUCAUUCAGCUCCACGGGCUCGGAGUACACUGCAGGGGCAGACACACACAAUGCUGUGACUUAACAUAACAUAACAUAACAUAACAUAAUGUAGCAUAACACAACACUACACUACACUACACUACACAACACAACCUAACACAACACAACACAACACAACACAACACAACACAACCUAAUACAACACUACACAACACAGCCUAACACAACACAACGCAACAUAACGACAAGAACAGACCAUUCCGCCCAACAAUGCUUGCCAUUUGCCGGACUAAAUUAGUGCUCUGAUUACCCACAGACUGGACAGUGUCUAACACUGUAUCAAGCUUGGUCUUGAAAAUCCCCAGAGUUUCUGCCUCUACUACAUGACCUUGCUGGUUAUUCCACACAUUGACUACUCUUUGUGUGAAAAAAUUCUUCCUAAUUCAUACUACAUUGUAAAUGGUCACAUACCAUAGAUAGUAUGGGUUGCAUGUGGAUGAGAAAACAUCAAUUAUGGAGUAUAUUACACUCUCCAUAGUCAUGUGCAUCAGAUACAUGCAUCAAGUCCCAUACAUUUUUACAUGUGCUAAUACUAGUACCAGUGCAAUAGUCUGAACCACGGCUGCCCAACCCUGCUCUACCAUCCUGUAGGUUUGGAGAUCUACUGGCCUGUACCUCUUCACUCCAACCCUAACAAAGCACACCUCAUUCAACGGCUAGAGAUCAUCUCAUAGAGCUGCCAAUUAGUAGAGUCUAGUGUGGCAAAUUAAGUUCGAAAUGAAAACCUAUAGGACGGUAGAUCUCCAGGAACAGGGUUGGGCAGCCCUGGUCCAAACGCAGUUUGGCAUGCUAAUACCAUUUAAAUUCCACAAAAAUUACAUUCCGUUUUUAAAGAGUAAACACAUUUUCUGUCUCCGUUUCUUAUUGAAAUGUAGCCAAACAUGAGAGCUCAGGGCUGAGUAGGUCUGCUGCAGAGGAUUUGCUGGAAGAUUAAAUUUAUUUUUGUAAAAAGCAUUUUUGCAGUUCUUAAAUAAGCGUAAUAGUGGGGAAUGUAUAAUGGCUGACAUUACCUUUCACUGUAAUUAUUUCAUAAGUGCAUUGUUUGACAUGUUUGUUGCCAUCACAAAGAGCGCAUCGGUAUUGUCCAGAGUCAUUCCAGAGCAGAGGGGAGAUGCUCAGUGAAAAUUUGUUGUCGGACCCACUCUUUACUUCAGAUCGAUUUCCAAAGUGCUCCAGGUCUGAGCCAGACCGUUUGCAGUCUCCUUUAGACCCAGUCUGUCCUGAGCCAGACCGUUUGCAGUCUCCUUUAGACCCAGUCUGUCCUGAACCAGACCGUUUGCAGUCUCCUUCAGACCCAGUCUGUCUCCAGCUCCAAAAGCCCUGAAACGUUGCUGCUGUUAGAGCAUCACAAGAGAGAUGCAACGAGCCGGUCCUGCUGAUUCUGUAUACAGGAAUCCACGGGCUAUCCUUUACACCUGGGAAAAAAUAAUACAUUUGCUUGAUAUGUAUGUAUGUAAGUAAAGUAUGUAUGUGCAUAUAAUUGCAGUCAAAAUUAUAUUCAAACAAAGUUGCAUAUGUUUCCGCUUAUAUAAUUUAUAAAAUUGAAAUGAUUAUUUAACUAGUUUUCAGCUCAGUAUAUGUAAUUUGUAAUAUUUAAUUCAAUAUGGUAAUAUUUCAAUCUGUAAUAUGUGAUUCAAUACUGUAUUUACUCAGCUGUAUUUCCAGUUUCACUGCAGUUUCCCCUGUUCCAUUGAUACAGUAGUAACGGCCUUCAUUCAUCUCCUGGACGUUUUCCACCAGCAGAUAUGCAGUGUUGUUGACCACUAAUGUCUUGAUGUUACUUGAUGGCUUGGUGACCCAUCUCCACUUCGGAAGAAAACUUGUCUCUGAUCUGCAAUGUAACGUGGCAUCCAAUCCACGCGGUACUUGGAUGACUUCAUCCAGCAGAACAAACAUUAAAAUAGUUUCCACGCAUUCACAAAUAAUUCAGCCAAAUACGCACCAACCAAUUCUUGAAAUCAGAUGGAAAUAUUAUGCCCUUCUACACCCGAAAGCUUUUCACAAGAGAUGACCAUUACUCUGAAACAGCCCUGCUAUGUAACCCUUUCGAUUGUCAGAUGUUAACUUACCUUUUGCAAAAACAGGAGUAUAUCCUGGUGUAAGAAACAACAGAAUCCAGCAACCAAUGGUAAAAUGAUGAAUCAUUGUUCAAUAUUGAAGGUUGUGUCUGAUGGCGUCAGGGAUUACUGCUUAUGAGCAAAGCAGAGUGGAACUCCAUAUCACGCUUCCUCUCAGCAAGGAGGUGGGUGCAGUAAUAUCAUUUCACCCUGUAAGAGAUAUAUAUAUAUAUAUUUAUACGUCACAGAAGGAAGCUAACCGUAGCCACCAACUGUGGGAUAGUCGCUUCCUUUUGUCACUCAGUAAAGCAAACAAAAAAACUCAAGUCCAGUUAGAAAGAGCCUGCUUGUCAUCAUUUGAUUUCAAAAGCAAAGUAUAAUUUAUUAAAAUGUGCAGUACCCUUC